GGCUAAAUAGAGUGCACUGGUGUUUACAAACUAAUUGACCACAACCAGUUACGGAUUUCUUUUUUCCUUCUCCACUCCCACUGCUUCACUCGACCAGCCUUUA
rnacentral:Y_RNA from 1 species